UGUGUGUUAGUGGAAGCGUCUGGAAAGGCGCGCGAUACAGGGUGACAGCCCCGUACACAAAAAUGCACAUGCUGUGAGCUCGAUGAGUAGGGCGGGACACGUGGUAUCCUGUCUGAAUAUGGGGGGACCAUCCUCCAAGGCUAAAUACUCCUGACUGACCGAUAGUGAACCAGUACCGUGAGGGAAAGGCGAAAAGAACCCCGGCGAGGGGAGUGAAAAAGAACCUGAAACCGUGUACGUACAAGCAGUGGGAGCCUCUUUAUGGGGUGACUGCGUACCUUUUGUAUAAUGGGUCAGCGACUUAUAUUCUGUAGCAAGGUUAACCGAAUAGGGGAGCCGAAGGGAAACCGAGUCUUAACUGGGCGUUAAGUUGCAGGGUAUAGACCCGAAACCCGGUGAUCUAGCCAUGGGCAGGUUGAAGGUUGGGUAACACUAACUGGAGGACCGAACCGACUAAUGUUGAAAAAUUAGCGGAUGACUUGUGGCUGGGGGUGAAAGGCCAAUCAAACCGGGAGAUAGCUGGUUCUCCCCGAAAGCUAUUUAGGUAGCGCCUCGUGAAUUCAUCUCCGGGGGUAGAGCACUGUUUCGGCAAGGGGGUCAUCCCGACUUACCAACCCGAUGCAAACUGCGAAUACCGGAGAAUGUUAUCACGGGAGACACACGGCGGGUGCUAACGUCCGUCGUGAAGAGGGAAACAACCCAGACCGCCAGCUAAGGUCCCAAAGUCAUGGUUAAGUGGGAAACGAUGUGGGAAGGCCCAGACAGCCAGGAUGUUGGCUUAGAAGCAGCCAUCAUUUAAAGAAAGCGUAAUAGCUCACUGGUCGAGUCGGCCUGCGCGGAAGAUGUAACGGGGCUAAACCAUGCACCGAAGCUGCGGCAGCGACGCUUAUGCGUUGUUGGGUAGGGGAGCGUUCUGUAAGCCUGCGAAGGUGUACUGUGAGGUAUGCUGGAGGUAUCAGAAGUGCGAAUGCUGACAUAAGUAACGAUAAAGCGGGUGAAAAGCCCGCUCGCCGGAAGACCAAGGGUUCCUGUCCAACGUUAAUCGGGGCAGGGUGAGUCGACCCCUAAGGCGAGGCCGAAAGGCGUAGUCGAUGGGAAACAGGUUAAUAUUCCUGUACUUGGUGUUACUGCGAAGGGGGGACGGAGAAGGCUAUGUUGGCCGGGC
rnacentral:rRNA from 1 species